GAAGGUACAGCUCAGUGGUGGAGCACGUGCUUAGCACACACGAGAUCCUGGGUUCCAUCCCCCGUACCUCUA
rnacentral:tRNA from 1 species